GAUGAACGCUAGCGGCAGGCCUAACACAUGCAAGUCGAGGGAGAAGCCCUUCGGGGCAGAAACCGGCGCACGGGUGCGUAACGCGUAUGCAACCUACCUUUCACAGGGGGAUAGCCCGGAGAAAUUUGGAUUAAUAUCCCAUAAUAUUGUUGGAUGGCAUCAUUUGGCAAUUAAAGUUACGAUGGUGGAAGAUGGGCAUGCGUCCUAUUAGCUAGUUGGCGAGGUAACGGCUCGCCAAGGCGACGAUAGGUAGGGGUCCUGAGAGGGAGAUCCCCCACACUGGUACUGAGACAGGGACCAGACUCCUACGGGAGGCAGCAGUGAGGAAUAUUGGUCAAUGGUCGGAAGACUGAACCAGCCAUGCCGCGUGCAGGAAGGCGGCCUUAUGGGUUGUAAACUGCUUUUAUAUGGGGAGAAUAAGGAGUACGUGUACUUUGAUGACUGGUACCAUAUGAAUAAGCAUCGG
rnacentral:rRNA from 1 species